rnacentral:SRP_RNA from 2 species
GAAGGUUGGCUAUGGGCGGCGUGCUCGCCAACCCGGUCAGGUCCGAGAGGAAGCAGCCGUAACGAGUUUUUCCGGGUCAUAGAUCCAGCCUUCCAC